UACAGAGGUCUCAAGCGUUGUUCGGAUUCAUUGGGCGUAAAGGGUGCGUAGGCGGCGCGGUAAGUCGGGUGUGAAAUCUCGGGGCUUAACUCCGAAACUGCAUUCGAUACUGCGCGGCUAGAGUGCUGGAGGGGAGACUGGAAUUUACGGUGUAGCAGUGAAAUGCGUAGAUAUCGUAAGGAAGACCAGUGGCGAAGGCGAGUCUCUGGACAGCAACUGACGCUGAGGCACGAAGGCCAGGGGAGCAAACGGG
rnacentral:rRNA from 1 species